GAUGAAGAACGUAGCGAAAUGCGAUAAGUAGUGUGAAUUGCAGAAUUCAGUGAAUCAUCGAAUCUUUGAACGCACAUUGCGCCCCUUGGUAUCCCGAGGGGCGUGCCUGUUCGAGCGUCAUUUCACCACUCAAGCCUGGCUUGGUGUUGGGCGACGUCCCCUUUGGGGACGCGCCUCGAAACGCUCGGCGGCGUGGCACCGGCUUUAAGCGUAGCAGAAUCUUUCGCUUUGGAAGUCGGGGCCCCGUCUGCCGGAAGACCUACUCGCAAGGUUGACCUCGGAUCAGGCAGGGAUACCCGCUGAACUUAAGCAUAUCAAUAAGCGGAGGA
rnacentral:misc_RNA from 1 species